AACGAACGCUGGCGGCAUGCCUAACACAUGCAAGUCGAACGAGACCUUCGGGUCUAGUGGCGCACGGGUGCGUAACGCGUGGGAACCUUCCCUUAGGUUCGGAAUAAUUCUUCGAAAGGGGUGCUAAUAUCGGAUAAUGUCUUCGGACAAAAGAUUUAUCGCCUUUGUAUGGGCCCGCGUUGGAUUAGCUAGUUGGUAGGGUAAAAGCCUACCAAGGGGUCGAUCCAUAGCUGGUCUGAGAGAAGGAGCCGCCACACUGGGGGUAGGCCACGGCCCGGACUCCUAGGGGAGGCGGGCGUGGGGAAUAUAGGACAAGGGGCGAAAGCCAGAACGACCAAGGCCGGGGGAGUCAUGAAGGCCGGAGGGUUGAAAAGCUCUUUUACCCGGGGUUAUAAUGACGGUACCGGAAGAAUAAGCACCGGCUAACUUCGUG
rnacentral:rRNA from 1 species